rnacentral:rRNA from 1 species
UACGAACUCUGGCGGCGUGCUUAACACAUGCAAGUCGAACGGAAAGGCCCUGCUUUUGUGGGGUGCUCGAGUGGCGAACGGGUGAGUAACACGUGAGUAACCUGCCCUUGACUUUGGGAUAACUUCAGGAAACUGGGGCUAAUACCGGAUAGGAGCUCCUGCUGCAUGGUGGGGGUUGGAAAGUUUCGGCGGUUGGGGAUGGACUCGCGGCUUAUCAGCUUGUUGGUGGGGUAGUGGCUUACCAAGGCUUUGACGGGUAGCCGGCCUGAGAGGGUGACCGGCCACAUUGGGACUGAGAUACGGCCCAGACUCCUACGGGAGGUAGCAGUGGGGAAUAUUGCACAAUGGGCGGAAGCCUGAUGCAGCAACGCCGCGUGCGGGAUGACGGCCUUCGGGUUGUAAACCGCUUUCGCCUGUGACGAAGCGUGAGUGACGGUAAUGGGUAAAGAAGCACCGGCUAACUACGUG